UAUCUGAUGUGUAAUGUAUAGCUAGG
rnacentral:piRNA from 1 species